CCAAUAUCCUUGCUCCAUUUGAACUCUAACAACUGAAAAGGAAAACUCCUGGACCACCUGAGCACAGCAAGUACUUCAUCUCUCAGUGCCUUUCCUACCUCUCUUUGCCAGCCCCCUUGGUCUAGCCUGUCAGCCUCUGAACCAUGCCAAUCCCAUCUCACUCCCCAGCACCCACCAAAAACACUUCAUUCCAGUGCCUCCCCCACUUAUCUCUGUUACAAGCACCUCACCAGGGAAAGAAAAGUACCCACCCCUGCCAAAAAAGAACAACUGCCAUGUAUUGUGGACCACGUGAAAGGGAACCAUACCCUCUUUGACACCCUCACCAACUGCCACUUAGUAAUGGUUGCCCUGCCCUAUUGGUUGGGACACUCGGGUUUUUUGAUGUUUACAGAGUAAAAGCAGACAGGCACCAGUGCCUGGACCAUGGGGCACUCAUUUUCACAUACAAUGCAGAGGCACAUUUCCUCUCCAAGACUUGGUUCCCUGACCACCAGGGCUUUAUCAAAGACCACUCACAGAGACAUCAGUUUGCCAACAAAGGUCUGUAUAGUCAAAGCUAUGGGUUUCCCAGUAGUCGUGUAUGGGUGUUAGAGUUGUACCAUAAAGAAGGCUGAGCACUGAAGAAAUGACGCUUUUGAACUAUGGUGUUGGAAAAGACUCUUGAGAGUCCCUUGGAAUGCAAGGAGAUCAAUCCAGUCAAUCCUAAAGGAAAUCAGUCCUGAAUAUUCACUGGAAGGACUAAUACUGAAACUGAAGCUCCAAUACUUUGGCCACCUGAUGUGAAGAACUGACUCACUGGAAAAGACCCUGAUGCUGAGAAAGACUGAAAGCAGGAGGAGAAUGGGGUGACAGAGAAUGAGAUGGUUGGAUGGCAUCACUGACUCAAUAGACAUGAGUUUGAGCAAACUCGGGAGAUACUAAAGGACAGAGAAGCCUGGUGUGCUGCAGUCCAUGAGGUCACAAAGAGUCAGACAUGAUUUAGCUACUGACAACAACAACUCAUUCCAAACAUGGCUAAGUCUAAACAAUGAUAAACUGAACUGUGGGGAAGAAUUCUAGGCUGGAUUUGAUUAAUAAGAAGACAAAAACAAUACAGUAGUCAGCGUGUAGGGAGUUUCAUCACAUUUCAAAACAGGGCUAAGCACUUGACAUAUAUUAUCUCAUUUAUGCCUCACAACAGGCCUAUGCAAUAGGAGCUAAUGAUUGUCUCUGUUUUAUACAUGUUCCUCUUGAGGCUUGGGCUUCUCCAGUGGCUCAUCAGUAAAGAAUCUGCCUGCAAUACAGGAGACUCAGCCUGGAGAAAUAGAAAGCUCUUUAAAAUAUCGGGUAUUGUGACUAUUUAGGCAAUCCAGUCCCAGUUGAUGUCACAGAUGGUGGCCUGUCCGCCUCACUCCUCUCACCUCAGAAGAUGCCAAUGAUGUGGGUGGGAGAUUUCAAAAAACAGCUGUCCCCCGGGGGCGAAUAGUCACUCCAGACCAGCUCUGCUUUAAGUUCCUUCUCCCUAGUUGGCCUGCAGACCGUGGUAGGCAACACGGACAUCCAAGACAGACAUCCCUGAGUUGACUCCUCUUCGAGCAUUUACUCUCUGUGCCAGCUCCAAGCCUUUCUUUCGCAUCCAUAAACUAGG
ensembl:lncRNA